GCCUUUGUGGUGUAGUGGUAUGCACGCUCGACUCGUAACCGAGAGGUCCGUGGUUCGAGUCCCGGCGACGGCA
rnacentral:tRNA from 1 species